rnacentral:rRNA from 1 species
UACGUAGGGGGGGGCAAGCGUUUGUCCGGGAUUUUAUUUGGGGCGUAAAGAGCGUGUAGGCGGCCCUGACAGGGUCUGCUGUGAAAACUCGAGGCUCAACCCUCGAGAUGUCGGGCGGGAAACCGUCUGGGCUAGAGUCCCGGGAAGAGGGAGAGUGGGAAUUCCUUGGGUGUAGCGGGUUGAAAUGCGCAGAUUAUCAGGGAAAGGAACACCCUAUGGGGCGAAGGGCAGCUCCUCUUUGGGGACCGGGGUUACUUGACGG